UUUCCGAGACCAGAGUUCCCUGCGGUUUCCCGCGGCCUGGCCGCGCUGGCGGGGAAAGGCCCGCGCAGGCUCUCGCCUCCCCGUUUGUGGAGUUGAGAUGAUUUGUUCGAGUCCUGGAGAGUUCUAACAAUCACCAGGAGUUCCUGAACAACAGAAACCAGCCGUGGUUAUCCAGCCCAAAAUGUCAGUAAUGCAAAGAAUAAGAAACCCUGCUUAACCGCGUCGGGCCGCGCUCGCCACAGCCGCGGCCGUCGGGCUGCGCGGCGUCUGUCUGCGCGUGGCCCCGAGUCCGUCCUGGGCUGGUGUGCUGAGGAAAGCCUGGAAGCACCCGAGGCUUGUUUCACUUUACAGGCAGCUUUGCCUGUCGUGCCAGUCAGAAUAGGUGUUUUCAGAAAGGUCAGCUGGCAGCCAUCCUCUGAGGAGUGCAAGAGGAGAGGGGUAUUACUUGGAUGUUAUACCAAGCACGAGGUUCUAAAUGAGUCCACAAGGCCUGCUGGGAGGAAACAGACUUCUAGGUGGCAGCAGAGACCACCGGCUGCUAGAGCUCCAGCACCUUGGCUUUGAUACCUUUGAGCACGCACGCCUGCUGCUGCUGCUGCUGCUGCUUGCGGUUCAUCUCAGCUGGCGGAGAGGCCAAGUCCCGUGCUGUGCUGGCUGCAGUGAGGAGCAGGGCUGUCUCCAGUGCUUUCACCUGCUCCAGUGCUUUCACCCGCUGCUGGAAGGCGAGGAAGCAUCUCACAUGGGACUAGCAGCGGGAACCCAGCAGCCCCUGUGGGGAAUCUGUCAGUGACAAGAAGGCAGCCUCCACCAGUUCAAGUCCCCGGGUGCAUUCUACAUGUCAUAAAGUGAUGUCACUUUAACCAGUGCCAACAUGGUGUCUUGGAUAAGCACGUGGGCUUUUAGCUAACACAAACCUGGAUUCAAAUCCUAGUUCUGCUGCCGAGGAACUGUGGAUGAAACUCAGUUUCCUCGCAUGUAGAACGUGACUGAUGGCAGUUGCACAGCGUUGUUGCAGAAACGGGAGAUGGCGCGUGUGAAGGGCUCAGCUGGGGCUGGAGGUGUGUGUGCGUGCGUUCGUGCGUGCGUGGUAUCUGCAGGGAGCCCCCGCUGUUCCCUGGCCAGGCGGGGCCAGUUCUGGGGCUGACGGCUGUGCUCAGCUUGCCUAGCAGCCUGUCGUCUCCAUGGAAAUGUGACUAGAGUGCACGCAGGACUGUGUUCGAGGCCUCCCGUGUCCCCCGUGUCAGAUAAGCAAAGGAAGACCCAGGAUUAGAGUGACUUCUCCAGGUGACCGGAGAAUGUGGCAGAGCAGAGGCUGGAAUUCAAAUAUGUGGAAUCUUGGUCGUGCGCUCUCAUUGACUGCAGCUAAGAUACUAUUUUCUCUAGUUACUGUUAGCAUCUCUCUAAACUCUUCUUAAUUUGUACUUGUAAACAUUUUCGGAGAAUCACACAUUCAGUGAGUCCUCAAGAUAUGUGUGUCCUUAACUUCUUCCAAUUAUACCUAUCCUGGGCUUAAUCAUACUCUUGUCUCUUGUGUCCAAGGGUGUGAGAUACAAAGCUUGAACAUGACUUGUAUAUUUAUUGAUAGCUAGUUAUUAAGUCAUUGAGUAUGCAUGGAACACCUAAUACGUGCCAGGGCCUGGGUUACAGAAAGGGUUAGAGAUACGGGGCACAGAGACAUAGAGAUGCAAAUACAGUCCCUGCGUGUAAGGCAUGUCGACUCUAAUGGGAGGAGGGGAGAAGAUUUGGAACUGAGAAGCCAACUAAUGGUUACAAUUCAGUGUGACACACAGAAUGGCCUUUACCUUGAGAGACUUUCUAGAGGAGUGAUACUUGAACUUAAUCCAGAAAGAUGAGUCAUGGCCAAGCAGGGGACAACAGAGUGCCUGUCCUUGCAUCAGUGGGAGGAUGGAGGUGUGAGAAGGCAUUGUGAGUUUGGGGGGACGUCCCAUGUUAGUUCUGCCCGGAGGAGGCAUGGCCGACAGGUGAUGGUGACAGGGCUGGGACAGCCAGAUGCUGAAGGUUGUGGGACUGUGCCACGGAACUGCAUAUCUUUAAGGCAACGUGAGGGCACUGAAGUACUUUAAGUCUAAGGUUCCCCAACCCCCAGGCCAUGGAGCGGUGCUGGUCCGUGGCCUGUUAGGAAUCAGGCCGCUGCACAGCGGGAGGUGCACUCACAGCUGCUCCCCGCUGCUGGCAGCACUGCGGUGGCUUUAGACCCCACAGCACGGGAACCCUGCUGUGAGCCGCGCGAGCGAGGGGUCUAGGACGCGCCCCUCAUGAGAGUCUGAUGCCCGCUGACCGGAGGUGGAGCUGAGGCGGUGAUGCUAGCGCUGGGGAGCGGCUGCAAACGUAAUAAAUGCCAUGUGCUUAAUCAUCCUGGAGCCAUCCCCCCACCGGGCUGUGGACAAAUUGUCUUCUUUGAAACUGGUCCCUGGUGCCAGAAAGGUUGGGAGCUGCUGCUUUAAGCCACAGGAUCAGACUGUGGAGUUGGAGGGAUUUGAGAAAUCUGGAAGGCUAUUGCUGUGAUCCAGGCUAGAAAGGAUAAAGAAUUGUACUUAAGUCAUGAUGGCUGUGGGGAUGGAGAGGAAUGAAGUGACCCAAGGGGGAUUUAGGAGAAAGAUUGGACAGGACACAUGUUCAAAGAGCAACCAUGGUAAGGACCCACAGCAAUGUUUUGGAAUCAACCUUGAGAAAUUGCUACGAUAAUCCCAAGUUACCAUCUGGCUAUGACAGCCUCAGCUUGGGGGCAUUCCUUAAAAGUUCCUUGUAAAUUGGAUUCUAAUAAGAACCUAUUUACAUUUUUUCUUCCUCUGCCUUGAUAACCCAGUGGAGAAUCAGUGUUCUCUUUGUCCUAGUGAUCGGGGAACUGGGGAUGGGAAACUGCUCUUUCCAAGUGCGGCCUACAGCCCCUCUGCAAGGACAGCCCCAGGGGCUGUGGACACCUUCCUCCUGACUCCACCCCAGGGCUGCUGUGGGACCCGGCGGGGAAGAUUUGAGGCUCCUGGCGCAGGAUUCUCAACCCACAAAUAUCUCCCUCUCUACCUGCUGUGGGAAUUUCGUUUUUUACUGUUAAUUUCAAAAUUGGAUUAAUUAUAAUCCUUGAUUCGGACAUUCUCAUUAUUAGUCAACAGAUGGCUUUCUUCAAUUUCUUUAAUUUAUUAUUAAUAGUAUAAUGAACUCCUGUGUAUCCACCACCUCACCCAAGAGCUAGAACAUUACCUAGAACCCAGAUCUCUCUACAUCUCCUUCCCUGUCCUGUCUCCUGCCCUUCCUGAUGGAAGGGACCACCCCUCUGACCUUUGUGUUUGUCUUUCCUUUUUUAAUGGGUUUUAUUUCAUAUAUUUGUAUCUAUGUGUUAUAUUUUUGAUAUUCAAA